ACUGCUUUUUCUUUUGAUGUCCCCCAAUUGUGGAGCCCAUCAACCCCGCCCGUUUUGGUUCAAGGUUGAUGGGUUUUUUGUU
rnacentral:sRNA from 1 species